CUCCUAUUUAGGCACCACAUCAAGGCUGCCAGAUGUGCUGCAAUUAAGCAAAGCCUGCUUACAGCCAUCCAGGCAGCUCCAGGGAGGACAGGGAACACAUACGUUGGUUAUCCACACUUGUAAAUUCCUGUUUGACACAUAUCUGUAGAAAGCUCCCGGUUUCUCUCUUUUUAAAAAAAACUGCCACCACAAAAGUCACAGGAUGAUGUAUUGUAGGUCUGUUACAAGUUAACAAACUAUCUCUGUGCCUGUUACCAGCGAAUAGAUUACCUCAAUCCUAAAAGCCCCUCAUGCCCUUCUCACCCCUGUAAACACCUCGUUCUGUGAGCUCAGGGCUGCCUCCUCUGAUUGUUACGGAGCAGCCUGCAGGUUAAUAAAACUUGCUUGCCUGAC